GUUCCUGUAGUUGAAUAACAACGAUAAUUUUUCAGGUUAUUAGUCUUAGUUAAAAUCUAAGUGGGGGUA
rnacentral:tRNA from 1 species